GACGUAGGGCGCGAGCGUUGUCCGGAUUUAUUGGGCGUAAAGAGCUCGUAGGCGGUUUGUCGCGUCGAAUGUGAAAACCCGGGGCUCAACCCCGGGCCUGCAUUCGAUACGGGCAGACUAGAGUUCGGUAGGGGAGUCUGGAAUUCCUGGUGUAGCGGUGAAAUGCGCAGAUAUCAGGAGGAACACCGAUGGCGAAGGCAGGUCUCUGGGCCACUGACUGACGCUGAGAAGCGAAAGCAUGGGGAGCGAACAGG
rnacentral:rRNA from 1 species